CUCCCCAGCCCUGUCGCAGGCUCUAAGAAUCCUCCCCUGCAGCCUCCCUGACCGGAUCCGGAGCCCAGAAACCCAGGUCCCACGCCCAGAUCUGCGCCUUGCGAGGCAGAAACCACACUCACCGGCAGACAAAGACGACUAUGGCGAGCCAGAAAGUCUGCGCCUGCGCACUCCGUGGGCUGGCUGGCUCUCCCAGAGGUCUCCUGGGCUCUGCCAAGCCGGGCUCAGAGCUGGACAGAAUCUAUUGGUAUUGGCAGGUCUCCCACUUUUCUGACUGCGGACUACAUUUCCCAUAAUUUUCAGUAGUUCGAGUCCGCUUUUAGCGUUUUCUUUCCUGCGCCAGAGUUUGUGGGACUGUCGGCCUGGUAGGGGGAGGAGUGUAAGUACACCGAGUCUCACGACUCCGUUUAAUACUCUACCUGUGUUAACUCUACCUUUGGGAGAGGGCAGUGGUGUGCCUUGGGUUAUAAUAAACUCAGUUCAAGCACGCCGGGAUUACUCCUUUGUAGGAGCCAGGGUAUAAGGCUCCCUACCCACGGAGCGCCGAAACAUUUCGGGGCGCAGUUCUGCCUCAGGGUGGGCGAGGAUGGAGGUCUCUGGCAAGGCUCACGCCGGUCGCCGAAUUCUGCAUCGCGAAGGCAGAGCUUAACUACAUUUCCCAGGAGGCAUCGCGCCCGACGCUCCUCUCCCACAGCGAAGCGGGCGCUUUGAGCUGAGCUGUGUUCAGACGCGAGCCGCGGUCUCUCGGUCUCUGGUCCCAGCCGCUAACACGACUGAGAGGAGACGGAGGUUGAAAAAAGCCCAGGAAAUGCUAGAAGGAGUUAUUCAAGCUUAAAUAAAAUGGCACUAAUUAGUAACAUGGAAAUAUAAAACACAUUAGUAAAGAUCAAGACUUGCUCUAGUAGUCUGCCUUGCAAACUAGCUAUCUCUGCCUCCCUGGACUCUCAUCUUCACCUUGGCAUCACGAGGCUCCCCCCUGCAUUCCUUCUCCCUGUGCUGACAUGUGGAAAUGCCUACUAGGAAGUUCCUUAAAUACUGAAUAUUUUGCAACAAACAUGCAUUAAUUCAUCAUCAAAAAUAUAUAAGAUUUGGUGGCAGCAGUAGAAUUCAAAGAGAACUACUGGCAUUUGGGGAAAAUGAACAAAGUGUGGCAGCCCUUGAACACUUCUAAGUUCACUGUCUUGCCAUUUCCAAGGCCUGUUGGGAUAGCUACUGCCUUCUUGUUUACCUAACUGUGUGACUGGGCCUGGCUUUCUACCUCCCUGGGAUGCGCAGGUUGUUGGUUCUUAGUACUGGCUAUCUUUGGGAGCAGCCCUGGAUUUUGGGAAGGAAUCCGAGAAAAGAAAAGGGGGCAGAAGAUUUAUUGAAGAAACAAAAGCUGAAAACUUCCCUAACCUCAAAACAGAAAUCCAGAUCCAGGAGGCACAGAGAUCCCCCAACAAAAUCACCACAAGAAGAGUCAAGUCAAAUUACCAAGACACAAAGUAAUUAAAAUGGCAACAAAUAGUGAUAAAUAAAAAAUUUCAGAAGCAGCAAGAGAAAAGACAGUUAUAUACAAAGAAAACCCCAUAAGGCUAUCAGAUUUUUCAGCAGAAACAACGCAGGCCAGAAGGGAGUAGCAUGAUGAUAUUCAACAUGCUAAAAGAGAAAAAUCUGCAGCCAUGAAUACUCUACAUAGCAAGACUAUCAUUCAAAACUAAAGAAGAGAUAAGGAAUUUCUCAGCAAACAAAAACAAAAGGAGUUCAUGACCGCUAAACCAGCCUUGCAAGAAAUAUUAAAGAAAAUCUCUGAGUGGAGAGGAAAGACUUUAAGUGAGAAUAGGAAAAUCAGGAAGCAGAAAAGCAAUAAAAAUAAAUGUAUCUAUAAAAAUCAGUCAAGGGAUUCAUAAAAUAAAAGAAUGUAAAACAUUAUAUAUAUAUAAAAUGUGGGGAAUAAUGAAAGAGGAGUAAACAAUGAAUUCAAGCCUAAGUGAUUAUCUACUUUAUGUAGACUACUCUCUGCAAAUGUUAUAUAUAAACCAAAUGAUAACCACAAAUCAAAAACCAGUAACAGGGAUCCCUGGGUGGCGCCCCGGUUUAGCGCCUGCCUUUGGUCCAGGGCGCGAUCCUGGGGACCCGGGAUCGA